UAAAUAAUUGGUAAAUUUUAACUAUUUUGGCAGACAAAAUGUAAUGGUUUUAGAAGUCAUAUAUGUAUAAUUUAUUAUAUAAAUAGUA
rnacentral:tRNA from 1 species